GAUGAAGAACGCAGCGAAAUGCGAUAAGUAAUGUGAAUUGCAGAAUUCAGUGAAUCAUCGAAUCUUUGAACGCACAUUGCGCCCGCCAGUAUUCUGGCGGGCAUGCCUGUUCGAGCGUCAUUUCAACCAUCAAGCCCCAGGCUUGUGUUGGGGACCUGCGGCUGCCGCAGGCCCUGAAAACCAGUGGCGGGCUCGCUGUCACACCGGGCGUAGUAGAUUUUAUCUCGCUCAGGGCGUGCUGCGGGUCCCGGCCGUUAAAAGCCUUUUUUUACCCAAGGUUGCCCUCGGAUCAGGUAGGAAGACCCGCUGAACUUAAGCAUAUCAAUAAGCGGAGG
rnacentral:misc_RNA from 1 species